UACGUAGGGUGCGAGCGUUAAUCGGAAUUACUGGGCGUAAAGCGUGCGCAGGCGGUUUUGUAAGUCAGAUGUGAAAUCCCCGGGCUUAACCUGGGAAUGGCAUUUGGGACUGCAAGGCUUGAGUUUGGCAGAGGAGACUGGAAUUCCUGGUGUAGCAGUGAAAUGCGUAGAUAUCAGGAGGAAUACCGAUGGCGAAGGCAGGUCUCUGGGCUAGAACUGACGCUCAGGCACGAAAGCGUGGGGAGCAAACAGG
rnacentral:rRNA from 1 species